GUUUAUUUUACACUUGUAGGCAUGAGAAAUGGCAUCGACAAAUGAAGAUAUUGUUGGAAACGAGGCAAGUUUGACGUAUACACGUGAAGAAGAAACACGUGAUGCUGAGAGACAUGUUGCUUUUAAUUUCCAGAAAAAAGAUAACAUGCGUUAUCCGCCAGAGCAAAAUGACACCCCGUCUGUAUUUACUUUAAGAAAAACGAUUUACUACACUGACUUUUUCCAAUGUUCUCAAGAUAAAACUGAUUAUGGACACGGAUCAGAUUCUGCCGAGGAAGAAUCGAGUCCAUAUAGCUCUACAAAUAAUCUAAAGUAUGAAGAAAUGGCACCUUCUGGAAAAACAAACACAAAUAGUUCAAGACAACAAAGGCUUCUAAUGUCUUCUUGCCAAAUGGACGAACAACUUGUAGAACAAAGUUCUUUGUUUUUUGAAAAAGUCAGUGUAGUGCAGCAUAUGACCGGACCAAAUGUACAAGAAGACAAUACAACAGCAUGUGGGACUCUCGCAUUAUCUGGAAAAAGAUAUAAUUCGAUAUUAUUACCAAGGCUUGAAGUCCUAUCAGUUAAAAAUGUAGUGAUGCCUGAGAAUUACCACAUGCGGUGGCUACCUUUCGUGAAAAUAAGGUAGGCUGGCCACAUAAUAACCCUUCUGCAGAAGACAUGGCCAUUGCUGGAUUUAUUUUCAGAGGCGUGUUUACUGAAAAUGGUUCGACAGUCUGUGAUAUGGUCGAGUGUGACAAAUGUGGAGGGACACUCUAUGGAUUUGAGAAAGGAGACGAUCCCAUUGCAGAACAUGAAAGAUUAUAUCCGCAGUGUAAAUGAAAGAUAUAACAUUCAGAAGACCAUCAGCGAUUUUUGUAAUGCUUUGAUUCACAUAGGAAAUUAUGACAGGACUAUGUUUUUUUUCCUUAAGGGGGCAAUGUCUAUUUGAUAUAACUUCAACUUCUUCUAAAAUACAAAAAUAGGAGAAUACCCCAUACAGCACGCGUUAGUUGAUAAUCACCUGCUUAGGAGAUCUUAUAUUAAAGGUACAAAUAACCUUAAAUCCAUGUAUGAAGUGAAUGAAGAUAGCCACUGAUUGUUAUUGUAUUUAAGAUUUAUUUCCUACACAAUGCAAACAUUGACAGGUCACAGUUGAAAGUGUAUUACAGUAACUAAGUGGUGAAGCUCUACGAAUGCUUAAAGUGUUAAUUCGUUGUGAAUACUUACUAGGAAUUAACAACUUCAUAUAUUUGGAAACAGUGUUAUAAUUUCAAGAAGUAGCCUAGAAUCGCUCGAUUCCAACGAUUUGCCUAAAAUGAUCUUCUUCACUUGACUCGGAAAUUCACAUUUUUUUGGUGACUUACAAAAAUACUGAUACGUUUAGAAGAAUAGGGAUUACAUUUUAGAUUAAUGUUUAUACUGAGUACUUUUAGAUAUUGUAUUGUGACAACGUUAAUAAUGGCAAAAGCAUAAGUGUAUAUAGUUAUGUAAACAAUUUUGUUUAUAGAAUUAUCUACUUAUCUUUUCAAUGCCUGGCACUUUCCUUAUCAGUACGUGUUAAGUAUCACUAACUGAACUAGAUCUUUAAAUUUCUUUAAUGCUAUUUUCAAUAUGUCGUGUCAAUUCAAUGAUACAAAGUUCAGGAUGGAUUGAAUUGACAGUUUGAUUCCUUUCUAUUAUUGUGACAAAGUAUUGCAAUAUGUUGGUUUUUGAAAAUAUCAUACGUUAUAAACAAUAGUAUUCAGGUUUAAACCAAACUAUUGAAAAACUGCCCCCCGCCCCAUCCGUCAAAUUGUACGUAUUAAUUAAUUGUAUAAAUGGGAAGGAAUUACACUCUCAGUGUAUAUACAACUCUGUAUUAAACUGACAAAUGGCUUCGAGAGAUGGACCGGAAGCCUUAUCCAUCCAGCCCGAUGGUCCCGCAGCUGCUUCAUUUAGGAAAACUAUGAACAAAACAUAAAAAAUACUAAGUACUAAGAAAAGUACUAAGCAUUUGGGAUUAUGUUUGUAUAAGAUUGCUUUGUUUGCUUUCUCGAGGAGUUAAUAAUAUUAGUUAUAUCAAAUGUCCCUUUGAGAACCAAUAACAUUGUAUUAUAUACAUGUAUAAUCACGGCAUAUUAUAGCAUAUUAUUGUUUUAUUGUUACAAAUUGCGACAGUUUGGCUUACUUUUUAUGUCAUGGUUUUAACACAACAACUUAAACUUAACGAAAGAGUAAAUGAAUUUAGAGAAUUUAGAGAAAAAUAAUCAUUGAUGUUAAAACAAAAAUAUAGGAUUAUGAUUGCGACAAUGACAUCAUGCUAUUUUUCAAAUCAGAUUUAAAAUUCAAAGAAGAAGGAAGUACCCAAGCAUGUCAAAACAAAUAACGGGAUCACGUUACUACAUUCCGAUGAUCUCUUAAAUUUCUUUGUUAUAAUUGUAUACAUUAUUUGUAUAAUUAGUUGCAUAAAAUGUAUCAAUGGAUUUCAAAAUGUGUUAUUUCAAAAAAAAGAAAUAAUUAUUUGAUAUCCAGCUGAUCCAGAUUUGCACAAUAUUGUUACAUGUAUCAUGCGUGUUAAAACGAGGUUUUUGGUUUUGAUAAAAAUGUGAUCAUUUUUUUAUCAUAAAGUCAAGCUGUAAAUUCCAUGUUUUAUUCUAUUUCUGUGAAAAAGUACUUAUCAAAUCUAUUGAUAAUUUGCUGCAAUAUUCCUUCAAAUGUUAACAUAAUAUUCAUCAUAAAAAGAAGUACCAGAAAUUUGAAAAAAAAAAACAGUUUAGAUAAAAGAACUCAAUAACUCUUUACCUUAAAAUAUCUUUAUUACAAUCUUUUAUUUCUUUGUCUUUACUAGUAAAACAGAACAAAAUAAACAUUGAUUAUUUGCUCUAUUUUAAAUAAUCCUAUUUCAAGUGAUAUUGUUAGCACCAUAAAAGUUGUAAUUUACUUUGGUAUAAAUUUAACAGAGGUGUGAAGGUGUGAAAAGCAACAAAAGACUGUUGUGUUUUAAAUGAAAGAUGAUUGCAUUGUAUUUAUACAGUUAACUGGUUACUAAACAAUAAGAUAUGACAUGAAUAUGUGUGGUAAAUAUUGUUUGUAAAAAGUAUGUUCAAUCAUUAAAGUUGUAAACAUGUAAUAGUAACUGUAAAUAAAGUAAAUGAUAUUUUUUGCUGAAUAAUGUUAGCAAUUAUUUUGUUUGACACUGUAUAUUUAUCCAAACCUUGAUGAAUAUAUAAAAGUAAUGGUACUGGUACUGGACACUGUUAUACUGUCUUAUAAUGCAAAACAACUCCAGGAUUUGUUGAAUACUGUGAACAUUGGAAAUUGAAUAUAAACAUUGACAAAACAAAAGUAAUAGUAUUUGGAAAUAGAAAUAACAACUUCACUUAGGCAAUUCAAGUUUAGAAAUAGUAAAUAACUACAAAUACCUGGGAACACUGCUAAAUCAGGAAGCUUUUUAAAUACAAGAAAACAUCUAGCACAGCAAGCCAAAAAGCACCUCAUUUACUUUAUAAAAGAAUUUAUAACCUUAACCUCCCAAUAGACCAUUUUUCAAACUGUUUGACCAUACAGUAUUACCAAUUUUAACCCAUUCAUGUGAAAUUUGGGGAUAUGAAAACUGUAACUUACUCGAAAAAAUUCACACUGAAUUUAAAAGUAAAAUUCUACAUCUUAGAAAAUGUACCCCAUUGUAUAUGCUGUAUGCAGAGUCUGGUAGAUAUCCUUUGGAAAGAACAAUAAAAUAUAAAAUGAUAGGUUUCUGGAAUAGAUUAAUUACUGGAAACCAAAACAAAAUUGCAUACAGGUUAUAUCAGUAUAUUUACAACUCCAGUUUUAAUUCAAAAUGGCUUAAUAAGAUGAAAUCAAUUUUAGUUGAAUCAGGACAUAAUGACUUUUGGAUAAAUCAAAACCAGAUUGAAGAUAAAAAUAUCAAAACUAUCAUAAAACAAACUCUUCUAGACCAAAACAUCAAAAAUUGGCAUGCAUCUCUAAAUAACUAUUCACUAAUUAAAAGCAAUUUAAAUUUGGACAACCACCUUCUUAAACUUAACAAACAAGACUUCAUUACCUUAAUAAAUUUUAGGACAGGCAACCAUCAUUUCCCUAUAGAAACUGGAAGAUGGAGAAAGUGCUUGCACUGUGACCUAAAUGACAUAGGCGAUGAAUAUCAUUAUUUGUUAAAAUGUCCGUUCUUUGAGCAAAACAGGAAAAACUUAAUCAAAUAGUAUUACUAUCGAAGACCAAACAUGCUAAAAUUCAAAGAAUUUUUGACAAAUACCUCCAUAAAUAUGCUGCAAAGAACAUGUAAAUUUAUGAGAAUACUUUUAAAUGAAAUUAAAUAAAUUAAAAUCGCAUCUAAAAAUAAUAAAUACAUAAACAAACAAAUAAAUAUA